GGGGGUGUAGCUCAGUUGGUAGAGCACUCGCUUAGCAUGCGGGACAUACGGGGAUCGAUACCCCGCGACUCCG